rnacentral:rRNA from 1 species
UAGGGAAUCUUCGGCAAUGGACGAAAGUCUGACCGAGCAACGCCGCGUGAGUGAAGAAGGUUUUCGGAUCGUAAAACUCUGUUGGUAGAGAAGAACGUUGGUGAGAGUGGAAAGCUCAUCAAGUGACGGUAACUACCCAGAAAGGGACGGCUAACUACGUGCCAGCAGCCGCGGUAAUACGUAGGUCCCGAGCGUUGUCCGGAUUUAUUGGGCGUAAAGCGAGCGCAGGUGGUUUAUUAAGUCUGGUGUAAAAGG